rnacentral:rRNA from 1 species
GCAUAUCAAUAAGCGGAGGAAAAGAAACCAACAGGGAUUGCCCUAGUAACGGCGAGUGAAGCGGCAACAGCUCAAAUUUGAAAUCUGGCUUCGGCCCGAGUUGUAAUUUGCAGAGGAUGUUUAUGGUGCGGUACCUUCCGAGUUCCCUGGAACGGGACGCCACAGAGGGUGAGAGCCCCGUCUGGUUGGAUACCAAACCUGUGUUAAACUCCUUCAACGAGUCGAGUAGUUUGGGAAUGCUGCUCUAAAUGGGAGGUAAAUCUCUUCUAAAGCUAAAUACUGGCCAGAGACCGAUAGCGCACAAGUAGAGUGAUCGAAAGAUGAAAAGCACCUUGAAAAGGGGGUUAAACAGUACGUGAAAUUGUUGAAAGGGAAGCGUUUAUGACCAGACUUGUGUCGUGUGGCUCAUCCGAGGUUCUCCCCGGUGCACUCCAUGCGGCUCAGGCCAACAUCGGUUCUUGUUGGAGGAUAAGAACAGUAGGAACGUAGCUCCUCUUCGGGGGAGUGUUAUAGCCUAUUGUACGAUACUCUGACGGGGACCGAGGACCGCGCUUCGGCUAGGAUGUUGGCGUAAUGGUCAUUAGCGACCCGUCUUGAAACACGGACCAAGGAGUCGUCCAUUAGAGCGAGCGUUUGGGUGUAAAACCCGCACGCGUAAUGAAAGUGAAAUUAGGUGAGAGCUUCGGCGCAUCAUCGACCGAUCCUGAAGUUUACGGAUGGAUUUGAGUAAGAGUUUUAACGGACGGACCCGAAAGACAGUGAACUAUGCUUGAAUAGGGUGAAGCCAGAGGAAACUCUGGUGGAGGCUCGCAGCGGUUCUGACGUGCAAAUCGAUCGUCAAAUUUGAGCAUGGGGGCGAAAGACUAAUCGAACUGUCUAGUAGCUGGUUACCGCCGAAG